rnacentral:rRNA from 1 species
UACAGAGGUCCCAAGCGUUGUUCGGAUUCACUGGGCGUAAAGGGUGCGUAGGUGGCCUGGAAAGUUUGAUGUGAAAGCUCGGAGCUUAACUCCGAAAUGGCAUUGAAUACUACUGGGCUUGAGGGUCGGAGGGGAGACUGGAAUUCUCGGUGUAGCAGUGAAAUGCGUAGAUAUCGGGAGGAACACCAGUGGCGAAGGCGGCUUCCUGGCCUGUUCUUGACGCUGAGGCGCGAAAGCUAGGGGAGCAAACGGG